CAAGAAUUCAGGCAGAAUUUGGUAUAUUAUUAUAUCUAUAUUGGUUGAAAACUGGCAAUAGUGAUAAAAAAAAAAGUACAAUACUGCUAAAACAUUUUGAAGAAAUUGAAUGGAAAUAUAUUAGGCUUAGAUUACUAUCUGAUGAACCUUCAGAGGUGAUAAGGAAUACAUGAGGACUUCAAAAGCAUUGCAUACCAUUUGCUCUAUGCAUAUACCAACACCAUACUAUCUAUAUAUACCAUACUGUACUACGAAAACACAUCUAGUCUUUGGAAUAACGCUACAUGGUUUUCGAGUCUAAAAACCUUUUUAGUGCUUUUUCAUCAGUUAUUUUUAACAUGCAUACGAAUGUCAGAUGGUCGAUUGGCAGAGUGGUUAAGGCAGGGCAACCGCAACCUACAGCCAAUAGUAUUAGCACUGGUUCGUUUUUCCGGAUUUUUCCGGUGGUGGAACAAGUCCUCUUGGAUAACUUGGAUAAGACGAGACUUUUUUAUAUACCUUUAAAGAAAAAAAAAAUUAAAUUUUGUUUUAUUUAGAAAAUAGUUUUGCCAAAAACAUCCAGAUGGGGAAGAAAAUAACAUUUAAAUUUUAUUGGUGAAUGUAUGUAGUAAUGGGAGGGUUAAUGCUUAAUAUAUAUAAUUAGGAAUAUAAAUAGGCAAUUCUUAUUUUGGAGAUUUCAAGGCAGAGGCAAGCAUAAUAAAAAUAAAUUAAAAAGUUUUAUUUAAAUUUUCUGAAAUUUCCAAUUUUUAUUGUUGGCAUGGGCUAAUUAUCUAAAAAUUUAAUUAAAUUUUUAUUUGAAAUCAUAAUUUUUUGGCGGGCGGCGGGGGCGGCGGGUUCGCUAAACAAGGUAUAAAAAGUUUCGCCUAAAGACUAUAAAUGAGCCCAAUGUACACAAUUGGCUCAUGUACAGUAAUGCUGGGGUUGCCAAACAUUAUAGCCUGGUUCUCACGAGAGCCCUAGUAUCCGGAUCAGGAGCUAAUCGUUAGCGCUAACCGUUAGCA